ACGGAGUAGUGUUGUACUCGGUUCUGUCUACAUCAGAUUACAGCUUCCUACAGUUAUUAGUGCUAGUAAAAAGGUUUUUCAAAAUACAUACGAAAUGGAAAAUAGUGAUAUACUUAAUAAUAUUAAAUUCGUAAAUAUGUUCAAAACGUACGCCGGUCAGAAUUAACUUCCGAACGAGUUUUAUCCUUGGAACGUAGACAAACAGUACAGCUGGAUAAAGCAAAAUGUGUCGGAAUUCUUUCCAAAUGUAUCGCAGUCGUUGUUUAACUUUAUUCCGAGUUUUGUUUUGCGAGCUUGAUAACAAUCCCUCUCUCGCAAUACCUGAAUGGAUGAACAUGGACAAGUAUCGCAAAGGACAACAAUUUGUGAAAAAAAUUACUUUGCAAUUUUGGUGACUAAAAUACUCUGUCUUAUACAUAUGAGCACUUUUCUCGACGUAAUAAAACCAUUCAGUAUCCUUGGUGGACGGUCACAUACUCCGUUUUCAAAUUUCAAAAGAUAUCGCACGACUGUAAAUAAAAUAAUAAAUUGGCAUAAAGGAGAGCCUUGGAAUAAUGACUCACAAGCCUACGAAAAUAUAAAAGCAACACGUAGAAUGCACACGGCUGUAAGAAACAAAGUAUCGCGAUUGACUCGCGACGAAUUCGACGCAGCAGCGUGCACAUUCGCAAAUCCGUGGUGUCCGGAUCGUGAAAUACUUCAGAAGGAUUUUGCCCGUUUGGGAAAACCGGAUGUCCUUACACCGUGAUCACUGAACCAGCAAAGCCAAACAGACCAAUAGAUUUCAAUAACGCUGACAUAGGCGGGCAUUUAAGGCGUGAUAAUAUAUCACGUCUUGCUUAAUCCAAAACAUGUCGGAACGCAACAAAUGAGGAUUUUGACACCUUCUGCCACAUGUGGCGAGUUUAUGAGUAUUUUCUGGGAAUAAAAGACGUAUUCUGGGAAUAAAAAACGUACAAUUUUUGUCGUGGAAGUCAUACCCGAAUUGGAGCAUAUCAGGAGCAUAUCAGGAACAUAUCAGGAGAUGUUUGACCGAAUCCUUAAAUUAUUACUUUCCUUUAAUAUAUAUACUUUUCAAAGUAUAUUUAUUACUCAUUGCAGAUGCAAUAAAUGCAAAAAUGACGCAUUUACAUGCGUCACUUAAUUACGUAGAAAGGAUUGCUUACAAAGUCUGGACAUUCCUAUUACUCUGUGCAUUUCAAGUGUCAAUCAUCAAGAUCAUUGGUUUUAAUAUGUGUGCGAACAAAAUAUUGGAAAACGCACUAUAAACCGGAACAUCUAGCAGAGCUGCAUAAGAAAUCGCAGAAGAAAGUACCAGAGAUUUUUCUAUCAAGCGCUUGCAGAUAUCAUAAGAUGAAUGUUUUUGAUCUGUAAGAACAUUACGUCUUUUAAUUCGCACUUCGAUCCCCGUACAAAUAUUCUUCUUCGUUGUUUAGCAAUAUAUAUUUUAUAUACAUGUUAUGUAUAAAAUAUAUAUACAAAAAAAAAAUAUAUAUAUAUAU